rnacentral:sRNA from 1 species
AACUAAAUCCAUAUGCCUAGCAAGUCUAAUCAAAUCCUAACCAACAUGUACUUCUCUGCAAGCUUACACAACAUUCUAGAUUCCAUACCUAAGUUCCACAACUAUAUCCAUCAGGCUUUCAUCGCAUGGUCUCAUCAAGCAAGCUAAUAUUCAAGAACCUUCUAGACUUAUUCAUGUA